rnacentral:rRNA from 1 species
AUUGAACGCUGGCGGCAUGCCUUACACAUGCAAGUCGAACGGCAGCACGGGAGCAAUCCUGGUGGCGGGUGGCGAACGGGUGAGUAAAGUAUCGGAACGUGCCCAGUCGUGGGGGAUAACGUAGCGAAAGUUACGCUAAUACCGCAUACGAUCUAUGGAUGAAAGCGGGGGAUCGCAAGACCUCGCGCGAUUGGGGCGGCCGAUAUCAGAUUAGGUAGUUGGUGGGGUAAAGGCUCACCAAGCCGACGAUCUGUAGCUGGUCUGAGAGGACGACCAGCCACACGGGGACUGAGACACGGCCCAGACUCCUACGGGAGGCAGCAGUGGGGAAUUUUGGACAAUGGGCGAAAGCCUGAUCCAGCCAUGCCGCGUGCAGGAUGAAGGCCUUCGGGUUGUAAACUGCUUUUGUACGGAACGAAAAGGUUUGGCCUAAUAAGCUGAGCUCAUGACGGUACCGUAAGAAUAAGCACCGGCUAACUACGUGCCAGCCGCCGCCGUAA